GGGCGGUUAGCUCAGUGGUAGAGCAUCGGCCUUACAAGCCGGGGGUCGCAGGUUCAAAACCUGCACCGCCCACCA
rnacentral:tRNA from 1 species